rnacentral:rRNA from 1 species
AGUGAACGCUGGCGGUAGGCCUAACACAUGCAAGUCGAACGGCAGCACAGUAAGAGCUUGCUCUUACGGGUGGCGAGUGGCGGACGGGUGAGGAAUACAUCGGAAUCUACUUUUUCGUGGGGGAUAACGUAGGGAAACUUACGCUAAUACCGCAUACGACCUACGGGUGAAAGCAGGGGAUCUUCGGACCUUGCGCGAUUGAAUGAGCCGAUGUCGGAUUAGCUAGUUGGCGGGGUAAAGGCCCACCAAGUCGACGAUCCGUAGCUGGUCUGAGAGGAUGAUCAGCCACACUGGAACUGAGACACGGUCCAGACUCCUACGGGAGGCAGCAGUGGGGAAUAUUGGACAAUGGGCGCAAGCCUGAUCCAGCCAUACCGCCUGGGUGAAGAAGGCCUUCGGGUUGUAAAGCCCUUUUGUUGGGAAAGAAAAGCAGCAGGUUAAUACCCCGCUGUUCUGACGGUACCCAAAGAAUAAGCACCGGCUAACUUCGUG